AAACCCGAACCCAUAAAAAUGCGUUGAAGCUCCCUCGCCUCAUCAGUGUGUACCGUCACCAUUUCAGAAGCUCCCUCGCCUCGCCUCCUUCUCCUCCUUCAGUGGAAUGUCUUCUGCCACUACUUAUGAGUCCACUUCUAGCGGCCAUAUGUGCAAUAUGGAUUGGUGUGUGGAAAGGACCUCCCUAUCUAUCCGUAAUUUUGGUAGGUGGUUCUAUGGAUGUCAGCAUUGGUCGUCGGUUAGUAUUACGUGAUUCUUUUGAUUUGUUUUUCUAAUUAUUAUCAUGAAGACUGUUAUAGCUUUUAUAUAUUAUAUUCAUUCUUUAGCACCAUGCAAAAUAUUUAUUGUGUCCUUCAAUGUUGUAUGCAGGACUCCAAUCAGGCAUGUAAGUUCUUCAAAUGGUUGGAUAAGAACACAUGCCCACGUGGCCGUGCAACAACACCACUUGUCCAUGAAAGGUUUACGAGAUAUAAGGCCGAGGCAGCGGUUGCAAGAAAUGAAAGGGAUGAGGCUCAUGCAAUGGAAGCAGUAGCAUGGGAGCAGUUAAGGAUAUCAAAGCGCAAGGCUGAAAAAACUAAGCUCGCACUCCGGAUUGCCGAAGACAAGGUCUACAAGUAUAGGCUAGCUUUACUUUUGUCAUGGACUGUAGUUGGGGUUUAUUUUGUAUUCUCUGCUAUUUUUGGGGGCCAUGGCCAUACAUAACUACGUGUGCCAUGACCCAUUUACGGUCACGUGUGUUAUGUACAUUAAUGAUUACAUGCCCUGUUUGAGAGCGAUUUCAUUGUUUUGUCCAGUUUGCCUGUGGACUUAGUUAGCAUUUUGGAGGCUGAUGCCACUGGUUUGUAUGUGAAUAGGCUUUGUCCUAAAACUCUUUUGGCUG